UAGGGAAUAUUGGGCAAUGGAGGGAACUCUGACCCAGCCAUGCCGCGUGCAGGAUGAAGGCCUUCGGGUUGUAAACUGCUUUUGUACGGAACGAAAAAGCUCCUUCUAAUACAGGGGGCCCAUGACGGUACCGUAAGAAUAAGCACCGGCUAACUACGUGCCAGCAGCCGCGGUAAUACGUAGGGUGCGAGCGUUAAUCGGAAUUACUGGGCGUAAAGCGUGCGCAGGCGGUUAUGUAAGACAGGAUGUGAAAUCCCCGGGCUCAACCUGGGAACUGCAUUUGUGACUGCAUGGCUAGAGUACGGUAGAGGGGGAUGGAAUUCCGCGUGUAGCAGUGAAAUGCGUAGAUAUGCGGAGGAACACCGAUGGCGAAGGCAAUCCCCUGGACCUGUACUGACGCUCAUGCACGAAAGCGUGGGGAGCAAACAGGAUUAGAUACCCCAGUAGUCCCUGAGCGGGCUGGCAAGGCGCAU
rnacentral:rRNA from 1 species